rnacentral:rRNA from 1 species
UGGGGAAUAUUGCACAAUGGGCGCAAGCCUGAUGCAGCCAUGCCGCGUGUAUGAAGAAGGCCUUCGGGUUGUAAAGUACUUUCAGCGGGGAGGAAGGGAGUAAAGUUAAUACCUUUGCUCAUUGACGUUACCCGCAGAAGAAGCACCGGCUAACUCCGUGCCAGCAGCCGCGGUAAUACGGAGGGUGCAAGCGUUAAUCGGAAUUACUGGGCGUAAAGCGCACGCAGGCGGUUUGUUAAGUCAGAUGUGAAAUCCCCGGGCUCAACCUGGGACAUGCAUCUGAUAGUGGCAAGCUGGAGUCUCGUAGAGGGGGGUAGAAUUCCAGGUGUAGCGGUGAAAUGCGUAGAGAUCUGGAGGAAUACCGGUGGCGAAGGCGGCCCCCUGGACGAAGACUGACGCUCAGGUGCGAAAGCGUGGGGAGCAAACA